rnacentral:rRNA from 1 species
GACGUAGGGCGCAAGCGUUGUCCGGAAUUAUUGGGCGUAAGGAGCUCGUAGGCGGCUUGUUGCGUCGACUGUGAAAAACCACGACUCAACCGUGGGACUGCAGUCGAUACGGGCAGGCUAGAGUUCGGUAGGGGAGACUGGAAUUCCUGGUGUAGCGGUGAAAUGCGCAGAUAUCAGGAGGAACACCGGUGGCGAAGGCGGGUCUCUGGGCCGAUACUGACGCUGAGGAGCGAAAGCGUGGGGAGCGAACAGG